rnacentral:tRNA from 1 species
UCCCUGGUAGCUCAGAGGUUAAAGCAUUUGCCUGCAAUGCGGGAGACCCGGGUUCGAUCCCUGGGUUGGGAA